rnacentral:misc_RNA from 1 species
CUACCACUUUGGCCGGAGACCCGCCGGAACCCUAAUCUCAACCGUCCACCAAUUCACAAUGACUAGCUUUGAGUGUGACAUCGACAACGCAACCGAGCUCCGACUCGGCCUCCCGGGGACCUGCGCUGCCCCAAGGGGCAGCAAGAGAUCACUCACCGAAGCCAACAACGACAGUCGAUCCAACAGCAAGUCAUCGGAGAUCGACUCGAGCAAUCAAGAAGCCUCACCGGUGGCUAAGGCACAAGUAGUCGGAUGGCCGCCAAUCAGAUCAUUUCGG